CUUUAUUAAAUCUUCCCCGGAGGAGAUGGAAACCGAUAUUGGAUGUUUCCUUGAAACUGCACUGGUGCAGUGCAGCGCAGCGGAAUGCAGUGCAGUGCUUGCUUACUGAAUGAUUGAGCUAGGUAACAUCGAUUAUUCUGUCUGUGCAAACUCCCUAAGGUAUCUAGGAGGUGUUCCCGCUUCCGGGGGCAGGCGAAUUUUGAAGAAGCUGGUAUGGCUUAUACAUUCAGGGGGUCUGGGUGAUUACCAUAGGUUUUGGAAGCCUGUGGUGCCUGGUGGAAUUGAUGUCUCGCCUCGCAGGCAGCGUUGCUGAUACUUCAGAGAGAGCAAAGGGUUAUUAAAACAGCCCCCCCCCCUCCAGCGCUGGGGACUCUACCGCAUCCCUGGGGAGGCUGUUCCAGUGGCUGAUUGUUCUCACUGUUUAAAAAAAAUCCAACCCAAAACCAAACAGCAAAACCCAAGUUUGUCUUGUAUGGAGAUGAAACCUCUCUCCUGGCGCAGACUUGUACCUGUCAUCUCUAUGUGGCUCCUUGUGCAGAGAGUGCCUCUGUCCUCUCUUUGUAGCCCCCCUUUAAGUGGUGGAAGACUGUGCUGAGGUGUGUUGCGUGUGUCCCCCGAGCCUUCUCCAAGGGAGAAAAGACCCAACUCCUUCAGUCUUUCCUCAUAGGGCAGGUUGUCCGGCCCUUUGAUCAUCUUUGUGGCCCUCCUUGGGACCCUCUCCAGUCUGUCUGCAUCUUUGUUUGAAUUGCGGGGACCAGAACCGGACACAGUGCUCCAGGGGUGGCCGCCUCUGCCAGAAGAGGCCAGGGUCUGCCCUGUGCCGGACAGGGCUGGUUCCAGCCAGCAGGUCACCUCCAGCAUUUGCAUGAAAGCAAGGAAGCACCUACAAGGCACCAUUAUGGAGAAAUCCCCCAAGCCCUUUCUAGGGAGCCAACAUGCUGGGGCGCCUCUCUGAAGCGCCUGUAUGCGAUCGCACGCAGCAUGGGGAAUAAGCAUGAGGAGCCGGAGAUGCGUGUGCGGUUGCAGGGCUAGGAUCUCAUUGGGAUCACGGAGAGGUGGUGGGAUGUCUCCUGUGACUCUUUAGGAAGGACAGGCUGGGAAGAUGAGGAGGGGGAGUGGCCCUUUUAGGUGAGAGAACAGCUGGACUGCAUGGAGCCCUGCCUGGGGAGGGCUGAUGAGCCGACCGAGAGCUUAUGGGCAAGGACUGAAGAGAAGACGGGUGAGGGUGGCAUUGUAGCGGGUGUCUGCUAUAGGCUGCCCGACCAGGAAGAACAAGCGGGUGAGUCCUCCUAAAGACAGAUAGGAGCAGCCUCACGUUCGCAGGCCCUGGUCCUCACGGGGGACUUCAACCGCCCCGAUAUCAGCUGGAGGGACAACACAGCGGGGCGUAAGCAAUCUAGGAGGUU